GACGAACGCUGGCGGCGUGCUUAACACAUGCAAGUCGAACGGAAAGGCCCUGCUUUUGUGGGGUGCUCGAGUGGCGAACGGGUGAGUAACACGUGAGUAACCUGCCCUUGACUUUGGGAUAACUUCAGGAAACUGGGGCUAAUACCGGAUAGGAGCUCCUGCUGCAUGGUGGGGGUUGGAAAGUUUCGGCGGUUGGGGAUGGACUCGCGGCUUAUCAGCUUGUUGGUGGGGUAGUGGCUUACCAAGGCUUUGACGGGUAGCCGGCCUGAGAGGGUGACCGGCCACAUUGGGACUGAGAUACGGCCCAGACUCCUACGGGAGGCAGCAGUGGGGAAUAUUGCACAAUGGGCGGAAGCCGGAUGCAGCAACGCCGCGUGCGGGAUGACGGCCUUCGGGUUGUAAACCGCUUUCGCCUGUGACGAAGCGUGAGUGACGGUAAUGGGUAAAGAAGCACCGGCUAACUACGUGCCAGCAGCCGCGGUGAUACGUAGGGUGCGAGCGUUGUCCGGAUUUAUUGGGCGUAAAGGGCUCGUAGGUGGUUGAUCGCGUCGGAAGUGUAAUCUUGGGGCUUAACCCUGAGCGCGCUUUCGAUACGGGUUGACUUGAGGAAGGUAGGGGAGAAUGGAAUUCCUGGUGGAGCGGUGGAAUGCGCAGAUAUCAGGAGGAACACCAGUGGCGAAGGCGGUUCUCUGGGCCUUUCCUGACGCUGAGGAGCGAAAGCGUGGGGAGCGAACAGGCUUAGAUACCCUGGUAGUCCACGCUGUAAACGGUGGGUACUAGGUGUGGGGUCCAUUCCACGGGUUCCGUGCCGUAGCUAACGCUUUAAGUACCCCGCCUGGGGAGUACGGCCGCAAGGCUAAAACUCAAAGGAAUUGACGGGGCCCCGCACAAGCGGCGGAGCAUGCGGAUUAAUUCGAUGCAACGCGUAGAACCUUACCUGGGUUUGACAUGGAUCGGGAGUGCUCAGAGAUGGGUGUGCCUCUUUUGGGGUCGGUUCACAGGUGGUGCAUGGCUGUCGUCAGCUCGUGUCGUGAGAUGUUGGGUUAAGUCCCGCAACGAGCGCAACCCUUGUUCACUGUUGCCAGCACGUUAUGGUGGGGACUCAGUGGAGACCGCCGGGGUCAACUCGGAGGAAGGUGGGGAUGACGUCAAGUCAUCAUGCCCCUUAUGUCCAGGGCUUCACGCAUGCUACAAUGGCUGGUACAGAGAGUGGCGAGCCUGUGAGGGUGAGCGAAUCUCGGAAAGCCGGUCUCAGUUCGGAUUGGGGUCUGCAACUCGACCUCAUGAAGUCGGAGUCGCUAGUAAUCGCAGAUCAGCAACGCUGCGGUGAAUACGUUCCCGGGGCU
rnacentral:rRNA from 1 species